AUAAAACCCGCUCUCUUGCUUCGUCACAUCCUCUUUCCGUUGCUCUUCUCGCUUGAGAAACCACUCCACACGAUGAGAGCCAAGUGGAGGAAGAAGCGUAUGCGCAGGCUGAAGCGUAAAAGGAGAAAGAUGAGGCAAAGGUCAAAGUAAGCCCUCAUCUUUACGAGCUGCGAUCCCGUCUGAGCCUCUCCUGAUGACUGACAGCCUAUACCCGAAGUGGAUGGCUUGGAGCACUUGUCUGCAGAAUGGGUCCAAAUCCUGACUUCACAUCACCAUGGCAACUGCAGAGGAUGUGGCUGUCUGACUGGAGGAUGGCAAAGAUGCUGGAAUGAUACAUCAUAACAGUUGCAGCUGCUUUGUUCAUGGACCAUAAUACAUCAAGUUUAUUUACAACUGUCAUGUGGUGUAUUGAAUAAUAAAUGAACACAUAAGUUUC